AUUUGGCCACUACAAUUGGAAAGAGGAGUGGCGGACGGGUGAGUAACACGUGGGUAACCUACCCAUCAGAGGGGGAUAACACUUGGAAACAGGUGCUAAUACCGCAUAACAGUUUAUGCCGCAUGGCAUAAGAGUGAAAGGCGCUUUCGGGUGUCGCUGAUGGAUGGACCCGCGGUGCAUUAGCUAGUUGGUGAGGUAACGGCUCACCAAGGCCACGAUGCAUAGCCGACCUGAGAGGGUGAUCGGCCACACUGGGACUGAGACACGGCCCAGACUCCUACGGGAGGCAGCAGUAGGGAAUCUUCGGCAAUGGACGAAAGUCUGACCGAGCAACGCCGCGUGAGUGAAGAAGGUUUUCGGAUCGUAAAACUCUGUUGUUAGAGAAGAACAAGGACGUUAGUAACUGAACGUCCCCUGACGGUAUCUAACCAGAAAGCCACGGCUAACUACGUGCCAGCAGCCGCGGUAAUACGUAAGUGGCAAGCGUUGUCCGGAUUUAUUGGGCGUAAAGCGAGCGCAGGCGGUUUCUUAAGUCUGAUGUGAAAGCCCCCGGCUCAACCGGGGAGGGUCAUUGGAAACUGGGAGACUUGAGUGCAGAAGAGGAGAGUGGAAUUCCAUGUGUAUCGGUGAAAUGCGUACAUAUAUGCGAUGAACACCCCUGGCCAACGCGCCUCUCUGGUCUGUCACUGACUCUGAGCUCAAAAGCGUGGGGAGC
rnacentral:rRNA from 1 species